rnacentral:rRNA from 1 species
AGGCCUAACACAUGCAAGUCGAACGGUAACAGGGAGCUUGCUCCGCUGACGAGUGGCGAACGGGUGAGUAAUGUAUCGGAACGUACCAUUCAGUGGGGGAUAACGUAGCGAAAGUGACGCUAAUACCGCAUAUUCUGUGCGCAGGAAAGCAGGGGAUCGCAAGACCUUGCGCUGAUUGAGCGGCCGAUAUCAGAUUAGCUAGUUGGUGAGGUAAAAGCUCACCAAGGCGACGAUCUGUAGCGGGUCUGAGAGGAUGAUCCGCCACACUGGAACUGAGACACGGUCCAGACUCCUACGGGGAGGCAGCAGUGGGGGAAUUUUGGGACAAUGGGGGGCAACCCUGAUCCAGCCAUGCCGCGUGAGUGAAGAAGGCCUUCGGGUUGUAAAGCUCUUUCAGCCGGGAAGAAAAUGCAUGGGUUAAUACCCUGUGCAGAUGACGGUACCGGAAUAAGAAGCACCGGCUAACUACGUGCCAGCAGCCGCGGUAAUACGUAGGGUGCGAGCGUNAAUCGGAAUUACUGGGCGUAAAGCGUGCGCAGGCGGUUUUGUAAGACAGGCGUGAAACCCCCGGGCUUAACCUGGGAACUGCGUNUGUGACUGCAGGCUAGAGUACGGCAGAGGGGGUGGAAUUCCACGUGUAGCAGUGAAAUGCGUAGAGAUGUGGAGGAACACCAAUGGCGAAGGCAGCCCCCUGGGUCGAUACUGACGCUCAUGCACGAAAGCGUGGGUAGCAAACAGGAUUAGAUACCCUGGUAGUCCACGCCCUAAACGAUGUCAACUAGGUGUUGGGAGGGUAAAACCUUUUAGUACCGUAGCUAACGCGAGAAGUUGACCGCCUGGGGAGUACGGCCGCAAGGUUAAAACUCAAAGGAAUUGACGGGGACCCGCACAAGCGGUGGAUGAUGUGGAUUAAUUCGAUGCAACGCGAAAAACCUUACCUACCCUUGACAUGUCAGGAACUUUCCAGAGAUGGAUUGGUGCCCGAAAGGGAGCCUGAACACAGGUGCUGCAUGGCUGUCGUCAGCUCGUGUCGUGAGAUGUUGGGUUAAGUCCCGCAACGAGCGCAACCCUUGUCGUUAAUUGCCAUCAUUUAGUUGGGCACUUUAACGAGACUGCCCGGUGACAAACCGGAGGAAGGUGGGGAUGACGUCAAGUCCUCAUGGCCCUUAUGGGUAGGGCUUCACACGUCAUACAAUGGUCGGUACAAAGGGUCGCCAACCCGCGAGGGGGAGCCAAUCCCAUAAAGCCGAUCGUAGUCCGGAUUGUAGGCUGCAACUCGCCUGCAUGAAGUCGGAAUCGCUAGUAAUCGUGGAUCAGCAUGUCACGGUGAAUACGUUCCCGGGUCUUGUACACACCGCCCGUC